GUGAGGAAUAUUGGUCAAUGGGCGGGAGCCUGAACCAGCCAAGUCGCGUGAAGGAAGAAGGAUCUAUGGUUCGUAAACUUCUUUUGCAGGGGAAUAAAGUGCAGGACGUGUCCUGUUUUGUAUGUACCCUGAGAAUAAGGAUCGGCUAACUCCGUGCCAGCAGCCGCGGUAAUACGGAGGAUCCGAGCGUUAUCCGGAUUUAUUGGGUUUAAAGGGUGCGUGGUGGAUUGAUAAGUCAGCGGUGAAAGUUUGCAGCUUAACUGUAAAAAUGCCGUUGAAACUGUCGGACUUGAGUGUAAAUGAGGUAGGCGGAAUGCGUGGUGUAGCGGUGAAAUGCAUAGAUAUCACGCAGAACUCCGAUUGCGAAGGCAGCUUACUAAGCUACAACUGACACUGAAGCACGAAAGCGUGGGGAUCAAACAGGAUUAGAUACCCCUGUAGUCC
rnacentral:rRNA from 1 species